GGAGGCGAUCAUACCAGCACUAAAGCACCGGAUCCCAUAAGAACUCCGAAGUUAAGCGUGCUUGGUCGAGAGUAGUACUAGGAUGGGUGACCUCCUAGGAAGUCCUCGUGUUGCAUUUG
rfam:Brachypodium distachyon strain Bd21 chromosome 4, whole genome shotgun sequence.